rnacentral:rRNA from 1 species
GACGAACGCUGGCGGCGUGCUUAACACAUGCAAGUCGAACGGAAAGGCCCUGCUUUUGUGGGGUGCUCGAGUGGCGAACGGGUGAGUAACACGUGAGUAACCUGCCCUUGACUUUGGGAUAACUUCAGGAAACUGGGGCUAAUACCGGAUAGGAGCUCCUGCUGCAUGGUGGGGGUUGGAAAGUUUCGGCGGUUGGGGAUGGACUCGCGGCUUAUCAGCUUGUUGGUGGGGUAGUGGCUUACCAAGGCUUUGACGGGUAGCCGGCCUGGGAGGGUGGCCGGCCACAUUGGGACUGAGAUACGGCCCAGACUCCUACGGGAGGCAGCAGUGGGGAAUAUUGCACAGUGGGCGGAAGCCUGAUGCAGCAACGCCGCGUGCGGGAUGACGGCCUUCGGGUUGUAAACCGCUUUCGCCUGUGACGAAGCGUGAGUGACGGUAAUGGGUAAAGAAGCACCGGCUAACUACGUG